rnacentral:rRNA from 1 species
GACGAACGCUGGCGGCGUGCUUAACACAUGCAAGUCGAACGGAAAGGCCCUGCUUUUGUGGGGUGUUCGAGUGGCGAACGGGUGAGUAACACGUGAGUAACCUGCCCUUGACUUUGGGAUAACUUCAGGAAACUGGGGCUAAUACCGGAUAGGAGCUCCUGCUGCAUGGUGGGGGUUGGAAAGUUUCGGCGGUUGGGGAUGGACUCGCGGCUUAUCAGCUUGUUGGUGGGGUAGUGGCUUACCAAGGCUUUGACGGGUAGCCGGCCUGAGAGGGUGACCGGCCACAUUGGGACUGAGAUACGGCCCAGACUCCUACGGGAGGCAGCAGUGGGGAAUAUUGCACAGUGGGCGGAAGCCUGAUGCAGCGACGCCGCGUGCGGGAUGACGGCCUUCGGGUUGUAAACCGCUUUCGCCUGUGACGAAGCGUGAGUGACGGUAAUGGGUAAAGAAGCACCGGCUAACUACGUG